rnacentral:rRNA from 1 species
UACGUAGGGUGCGAGCGUUAAUCGGAAUUACUGGGCGUAAAGUGUGCGCAGGCGGCCGCGCAAGUCGAGUGUGAAAGCCCCGAGCUUAACUUGGGAAUUGCGCUCGAAACUACGUGGCUGGAGUGUGGCAGAGGAAGGUGGAAUUCCAGGUGUAGCGGUGAAAUGCGUAGAGAUCUGGAGGAACACCGAUGGCGAAGGUGGCAUUCUGGACCGAUAUUGACGCUGAGGAGCGAAAGCCAGGGGAGCAAACGGG